rnacentral:rRNA from 1 species
AUUGAACGCUGGCGGCAUGCCUUACACAUGCAAGUCGAACGGUAACAGGUCUUCGGAUGCUGACGAGUGGCGAACGGGUGAGCAAUACAUCGGAACGUGCCCGACCGUGGGGGAUAACGGAGCGAAAGCUUUGCUAAUACCGCAUACGAUCUACGGAUGAAAGCAGGGGACCGCAAGGCCUUGCGCGGACGGAGCGGCCGAUGGCAGAUUAGGUAGUUGGUGGGAUAAAAGCUUACCAAGCCGACGAUCUGUAGCUGGUCUGAGAGGACGACCAGCCACACUGGGACUGAGACACGGCCCAGACUCCUACGGGAGGCAGCAGUGGGGAAUUUUGGACAAUGGGCGAAAGCCUGAUCCAGCCAUGCCGCGUGCAGGAUGAAGGCCUUCGGGUUGUAAACUGCUUUUGUACGGAACGAAAAGACUCCUUCUAAUAAAGGGGGUCCAUGA